rnacentral:tRNA from 1 species
CAGGAAGUAGUUUAAUUAGAAUAUCAGCUUUGGGAGUUGAUGGUGGGGUGCGUUACCUCCUUCUUGA